CCCCAGACAGGUGAAGGUGUUGUCUGGAUGCCAUUCACCAUGAAGUGGUGGCCACUGUUAAUUCACGGUCCCGACAUCCCUCUCUCUGCUACCCAACUCCAGGUGUCAACAAGCCCGGUGGGCCAGGAAGAAUGACCCUUAGAGGAUGACAGGUCCUACUUUCACAAUUAUGACAGAUUUUCUGCGCUCCGCUGUCUUUCGACCAAAGUGAGAGCCAAAUAGGAAAUGCAGGGGUGAGAUGAUCCACAGGCUUUAGCCAUGGGCGUUUCAACUGACUCGGGGAAACAGCACCCCAUUGACCCCAGCCUUCCGAAGAAGGGUGAGUCCUCAAACAGCUGCACCACCCACCGCCCUCCUCCACUUCCAGCACACACACACAAUUAACCAUGGGGGCAUGAGAAGUGCAAAGGGACCCCCGUCACUUACUUUGUGAAAAAAUUCCACACAUCCACUGGCGUUCAUUUUCCUAGAAAAUCCUUGAAUCUCGUGGCUGUGGCAGGAGGUCCACAUUGAAAAGAGAUGUCUGCAGCCACUGCCAACUCUGCGCCCUGGCUGCAUCUCCCAAGCCUCCAGAGAACGUCGAACUCCAAAAACGGCAUUCCCGAAGGAUGGGAUCAUUUCCUAAACACACCCAGAGAAUCGCCUCUGCUCCACAUUUCUUCAGGAAAAAAUGUUUCCCACUUCCCUGGCAUUGUCGGGGGAGACUCCAAGGACACACUGGCUAAAAUGUGGGGCUUUUUCUUUCUCAUAAUGGCCUAUUACAUACUUUGCAAUUUCACAGCUAAUAUGUGAAUACAGGGCUGUCAUUACAAUUUGAAUAAUAUAGAAAUGAGAAGUGUGAAAAGCAACAAAAUCCCCUUUACCUGAAUUCAAGCCCACUCUCUUGCCAGAGGAGGGUGUUUCCUUGGUCUCAUUUUUCUAUGCAAUCAUAUACAUAUUAAAAAAUACCUUUGUGUUAUGCAUUUGUGUGAUGAGUCUUAGACAAUAACAUGUCUUGGAUAUCUUUCCACAGUCAUGCAUUUUAGAUUCACUUCAUUCUUUUUCAUUGCUGCAUCAUAUUCCACAGAAUCAAUGUACUAAGACAUACUGACCUAUUCUUUCACUGAUGACCUUGGAAGCUGUCUGAUUUUUCACUGAUGACCUUGGAGGCCGUCUGGUUUUUCACCGAUGACCUUGAAGGCCGUGUGGUUUUUCACUGAAGACCUUGGAGGCCAUCUGGUUUUUCACUAUGCUACCUGACACAUACUUGGGUAUGUG
rnacentral:lncRNA from 10 species